AUUCAGGCGCCCGGGCUGGGGGCUACACUGCUGGCGCGGGAUGGCCCAGGACAGAGUGGGCGCUAUAGCGCACUGGCAGGGUCCUUGGCCCACUCCUGUUGGCCGCCGCGGCUCCAAAGCGAGAUGUGCCUGAGACAGGUUUGACCAGGCAACUGAAAAGACAUCCCUAAGGGAAGACAAAGCAAAGGUAUGAAAGGAACACACGUCCCUGACUGACUAGGAGGAACAGAGCUGCCUGCUGUCUGGAACCGCUUCCUCCCAGACUAAGUGAGAAAUAAACUUCUGUUUUCUAUA